rnacentral:rRNA from 1 species
CAAAAACAUUUCUUUUUAUAUGAAUUAAAAGGUAGUCCCUGCUCAAUGUGAAAUAAAUGGCCGCGAUGUUAAAAGUUGWGCGAAGGUAGCAUAAUAAUUUUCUUUUUAAAUGGAAGGUAGAAUGAAAGGGUUAACUAGAUAUCUGCUGUGUUGUUAUGUUUGGAGAAUUUUAUUGGGAGGUUAAAAAUCCUUCUAGGUUUAAAGGGACGACAAGACCCUGGGAGCUUGGAAAUAGUUAGAGCAUAUUUAUUUUAGCUGGGGCGGUUAAUAAUAGAAACAUUGUUGUGUAAAACAUAUUGUAUGGUUUUGGUGAUCAUUUUUUGAGCAAGAAGUUUAAGCUACCCCAGGGAUAACAGCACAAUUAUUUCUGAGAGUUUAUCUAAGAGGUAGUUUGUGACCUCGAUGUUCAAUUAAGGAUGUCCUCUUGAAGGAGAGACCCCGGAG